CUCCAUAUACAGCUCUCCUCCAUUGAAGCGCAUUAUGACCUCCAUUGAAGCGCAUUCCGAGCUUUCCAACUCCAUUGUAGCAGCUUUGAGUUAUCAAGCUUAAAGAUUCGGGCACGAAGACCCCAUUCAUUGCUGAAGCUUGUAUGUUGCGGAAAGUGUCUCUCUUUCAGGUCGCCAAGGUAAAUGACUGUAACGGCUAUUGAGGCUUCCCUGUGCAUCUGUUAGUUUGAUUAAUGAUGCGUUAUUCUUUAGCAAUGUAUGUAGGUAUUAAUUACUUACUAACUUUUGUUUUUUCUUUUUAAUUUUUUUUAUAGAUUCAUAUGUGAAUUGAAGCACAAGUUUAGCUUGAAGACUACAAAUUUAGCUCAAUUGUGGUGAUUACAUCUCAUGGCGGACGAUCAGGACCGUGUUUGUGUCGAGGAUGUAGAGGAUGAUGAUGAUGACUUCUCUGGGGAUGGUGAUGAGUUGUAUGAUGUGAACAAGGAGCCUGAUUUGGGUGAGGCAGAAGAUCAGGUUCAGGAUAAGUUGGAGCGUAGGCUGGAUGCAUUUGAAAUGGAGGCUGAACAAGCGCCUCCUAUUGAAAAUGCAGUUUCUGAGACGGUUGGUGAGAACGCUACUUCCCACAAUCAAAGCCAAGGACAAAGUGGAGGAGGGGUGAGGGCACCGGCUAAGAAAAAGGUGAGGGGUCCGACGACAAGUUUCAAGAAACCCGUCGGUCCCAUGGUCCUGGAGUACGACAAGGCGGGCCAACCUGUAGGAAAAUUCCGUCGUCCAUAUGCUAUUCACGUUGGCAUUUGUGCGCGUAAAAUCUCGAUUACACUUCAAAUGCGGGAAGUACCUCCAGGAUUGAUUGACACAUUUUGGAAUGAUACAAGGGCAAGUGUUUUAUUUGCAUAUUUAUACAAUUAUAAAUACCUUUACUUUAAUGUUAUGUAAAAGGGGAAACUAAUAAUCGACUUUAUUUGUGUUUGCAGAGUCUGUUUAAUAUUUCUAAUGAUGCCGCCAAGCGAAGGGUGUUUGAAUCUUUGCUAGCGGAAAUAUUCAGAGGCUUCAAGAGCGAAUUAGUUCGUUGUUGGAUUACAAAGAGGAAGAAAAAACCAAAGAAGAAGAAAGGCAAUGAUGAUGAAGUCAUCAAUGAAGAGCUACUCCCAUGGCAAAAAUGGCCAAACAUAUCGAAGGAUGAUUGGGAAGCUUUUGUUAUUCAACAAAGUACAAAGGAAGCAAUUGAACUGAGGGAGCAAAAUUCCAAAAAUGCAAAGAUGAAGCAAUACACCCAACGUAUGAGGUGUAAGACAUUUGGUGAAUGGAGGGAAACGUGGGUCAACGAAGGAGUAUACCCCACUUCGCUACUAGGGUCGUCCAAAGGACCCUCUUCUUCCACGAUCACUACGCUGGUGAGUCAUGCUGGUGAUUUCUUCUGUUCACUGCAUGCACGUGACAAGGAGACCGGAAAAUGGGCCAUCAAGGCUCCGGAAACCAAAGAAAUGGCUGAUAAGCUCAUUGAACACACUGAAGAACUGGUUGAAGGCAAGCUCGUCCCAAGUGUAGAAAAAGACCCUUUCACCUUGGCUUUGGGAAAUCCCUACACCAUCCAGGACGGGUAGUAGGUGUAGGAGGGUCAUUGCUAGGGUGGGAAAAGGUGAUGGGUCCAGAGUAUACCAAAUCAGGAAGAUCCCGAGCAAGUGUGAACUCACCUCAUGACUUAGUUUCCACAGUGGCAUCGAUUAAGGAACAAGUCCACAACGAGCUCGUAAGUGAAUUUAACGCUUGGGCGAAGCAAAUGAACCUACCGAGCUUGCCUUUCCCCUCGAAUACACCCGUCGACUCAUGUAGUCACCCAAAAGGACAAGGGGAAGAUGAUAUACAUGGAGACGAUGAUGCAAAUGAGGGUGGUACGCCUACACAUGCGGACUCGAGGGAGCUCGAUAAUCCAACACCUCAUCAUUUUCCAGAUUUACAGGAAGAGACCCGUUGUGCACUUCUACACCCGGACGAAUCUGGAGCUUUGCAUGUGGUUGCAUAUGGUAGUGCACAACCGGCCGAACAAGGUACGGUCCAUUUGCGACCGCUUAGGCCACAACAUUACUCGGUUGGGAUCAAUUCUGUUAUUACCGGGUUCGAGGACAUCCUAAUACCGGUGCCCAUAGAGGAAGAGGAGUUCACUACACUUUGGGCGGCAAAAGGUAGCUUUGUGCAGUGGCCAUGUGCUUGGGUAAGGUUGAUGAACCAGAUUUCGCAAAAAAUACAAACUUCAAAGAGGAAAGUGGAACAACCAAUAAGCGUUGAUCAACCGGUGCCAAAGAAGAGGAGUGAACAAAGGUCGGAGAGUGAAAAAGGGUCAAAGAAGAACUCUUCGAGAGGUUAAGCUUUGCAAGCUACUCCACUUGUUUCUGACACGGUCCUUCAAACGCUGUCUAAAGAUUUAACAUUUCUACACAACCGUGUUAGUAUGUUGCCUAGUGACACUCCCAUUCAAGUUCCACUACCUAAGGCAAUGUUCCACUUUGAUGAGGAUGCAGUUGCAUGGCUUAGCAAAGAAGAUGUGAAAGAAUUUCUAAGUGGUUCAAUGCUUAACAUCUCCCUCGUUCAAACAUUCAUGAGAGCACUACAAGAGCACUUACUUGAGAUUGAUUCUCCGUGUCAAGUCGGGUGGUUAUGCCCCGAGCAAAUCUCCACUACUAGAAUCUUAGGCAACUACCCUGACGUGUUGUACUAUGUUGAACGGGGUAUCAAGGAAUCAUUGCGUGCGGGUCAAGUUCAUAUUCGCCCCAUGUUUUGAGGAUGCACAUUGGACCCUGCUGGUGAUUUGUGUUCCCAGUAACACCAUCUUCCUUUUAGAUUCAGCUCGAUUGCCUCAUCCGAAAAAGCUCCUCGUGAAGUCUAUACUGCGAAAUGCUAUGAAGAAGAUAAAUUGCCGAGCUCCUCAAGGUCCUACAUAGAAAUCACCGAUGUGUGCACAACAAGAUAACGAAGUUGGUUGCGGACUAUACGUGAUGAGAUUCAUGUUGGACAUAAUGAAUCAUUGUACAGACUUACAACAGCUUGAUGAGGUACAGAAAGGAGGUCCAUUGACGAGCAAAGAGCUGAAUGAAGUUCGAGACAUGUUAGCGUCUUUCAUCACAUAUAAUUUAAUUUGAACUUGUUAACUUAUACAUUAAUUAUUAGUAUAGUUUGUAAAUAUUACACCUUUUAAUUAAUGAGUUGUAAAAGCUA